rnacentral:rRNA from 1 species
AUGACCCCUAUUGGUCCCAAUGGCUAUGCUGAAAUGACAUGUCAAAAGGAAAGAGUUGGUUUGUCGCAAAAAGGGAAAGAGCUGGUGGAGGGGAUGACCCCCUCGCAAGCUCCAGGUCGUCAAAAUUGCCGCUCCAUAGCCAAACCAAUGAUGAAGGACCAAGAACACUGUGGUCUAGACUGUGAGAACCACUUGCUCCAUGGAGUAGACUGGGAUUGCUACUCUAGGCCGGAAAUAGAACCGGGAGACAUUUUAUUCGGGAUUUGGCAGAUGCGGUCGGAUAUGAUGCACGGCAAAGAUAUUCCACCGUUGGAGACCUCUGUUGCCUCCCUCCAGAGCUACAUAAGUUCACUCAUGCUAUCAAAACGUUACACAGUAGAAGAGAUUAUUAAAGGGAAGAUGGCGUUGGCUGAUCCUGGAACUAAAGCCCCAAUGUUGACUCGUCAUGCUGCUCCUUGGCCGGCACCUUUGGCGGGUCAAGUGGCACUGUCGGUUGAUGGGUCAUACUCAGAAGUGGAUGGCACGGCGGCGGCUGAUAUGUCUACUGUUCGGGAGGGAGGAGAGAAGGAAGAAGCCGCUCCGCCAACGAGCAGUUCCUCACACUUCCGGGAGAAGAGAACCCAUCUCGGGCGACGUCUUCUGAGGUACAGUGUGUCCUGUCGCGCCCUCCGUUUCUCCGUCGUUUUUGGCGAUCCUUCUGUGAAAUUUCCCCGCGGCGGGGAACCGCGAUCGGCUCGAUCAGGGGUGAAUCUGGGUGGUGGGCGGGUUGAGGUCGCGGCUCCUAGGGUUUGGGGCGGCUAA